AGGAGGGGAGCGCGCAGCGAGCGAAAAUAACCCGCGGAAGGGAUCCAGGCUAUCCCAGUCCACCCACUCCAGAAGGGCCGGGCGUGGUGGCGCACACAACGCCUUUAAAUCGCAGCGCUCGGAUAAGCGGGAUGGGCUCGCUCAAACACCUGGCGUGGCUGCAGGGGACAGAACAGAGCGCUACCACAGGCUCACCACAUCCUGACACGCCGCACUCCUGCCUUCCAUGGUGCGGGGGAUCUGAACUCUGGCCAUCACACGUGCACAACCAGUGUAUUUAGGGUGGCGCCAGCUCCCCAGCCCCCCCAGAAAGCUCAGUUGGGCAGCCAGCGCUCCGCGGGAGCCAGCGACGGCGCCAGAUGGUGAGGCUCCUUCCGACUGGCUCUGCUUGGAAAUGCCACGAGCAGAGACUCCUCUUGACUCGGAGGGACACAUUGGAGAAGUGAGAACACAGCUUCUGUCGCCUAAAACCCACAGAGGCUUCCGAGUUGUCAACACAGUGCGGCUUCUGCGCGUCACUCCCCGAUGUC